ensembl:lncRNA
GCCAGAACAUUACUAGUGCUACCAUUUAAAGCAUCAGUUGGAUUGGAGCUUUAUCUCAGAUCACGACUUUUGCUGUAUUGUGCCACAAAAUCUGAAACUAUGCAAAGAGCUUUUGCAGGAAAAAAAAAACCCUUGGCUUAACUGUGAAAGGGCUGUCUGUUGGCAGAAUGUUCUCAAUGAGAAGCUCAGCAGAAGGGCUUGAUUUGCCAGAGGCUGAAAUUGCUAAACUUCACCAUACACUGGAGGGACCUGUCGGUACCAGAAGCGUGGUAAAAUGCUGCUGUGUGUCAGGAGCCCAGCUGUUGCUCAACUUUCUGAAAGAAUCCUAAGGCAGCCUGUGCUUACCU